UUAUAUUUCUCACGCCUGGCCCUGAUCCUCUUCCGUAGAAAAUGAGACCCUUUGGGGUACUUUUUGAAGGUCUCAGUCUCGUCUCGUAAUUGAAAGCAUUUCGACUCGGUCUUGUCCCGGUCUCAGACUGGGCAGACUCCAGAUUUUAAAUCCAGACCGUACAAGACCACCACUGAUAAGCCAGUUUUCCACAUCAUCACUGCGAUAAGAAAGAAAAACGCCCCUGAAACAACAAAUAACUUUAAUCCAUUUGUAGUUUGGUUUGGCCCCCCGGUUACAGCUGCAACCUUCCCGGUGUUCGGGUUAUAAUCAGUGUCACAAAAUGAUUUUUAAUUGAUAUGUAUAGUCUGGUCUUGGGGUAAAAAAAUAAAUAAAAGAAGCCUCAAGGAUUUCAUUUAGACCCCUGGUACCUCUUAAAGUCUGUAGACAAUGAGUAAAAUUCCCACUCCACUGAACACACAUCCUGAAGGUAAAUAAUUCAGAAUACAGAUUUAAUGUUUCUAAAAAUGACUGAUACACAAAUGCUUUCAUUUUAUAUGCCUCAUGUGUUUGGACAUAUAAGAGCUUUAAUCAUGUUUUACUUGAAGCUUUAAAAAGUUGUGUAUCAUAAAACUCGUCACCAAGACGUAACUAUAAACUUUAAGUGCAUGCAGCAUGUCCAUAUAUGGUCAUGACGUAUUAAGCUAUGGAUGGCCCUUAUAGAGGGGAUCAUGCUCAGGAAGACUAAGUGCCUUCUUAUCCUUUUAUUCUUUUUUUAUAUUUGAAUAAAUAAACAGUUAAAACUUGUCCUGGCUUCAUUUUGCCACACAUGCUAAAUGUUAAAAAAAAGCAGGAUAUAUUUUUGCAGCUCACUUUCCCACCGUCUUUCAUGACAUCUCUUUAACGCUGCAAACUCUUUCCGCUGAUGCUUCAGGACUUGGAAAAACUGAAAACCACCGAUAUGUGGUUCCUAUUUGUUUCAGUGUACCCGUCAACACUCACAAACACAAGAGGCGGAUGUGGCCUCUUUUAAAAUCUUUGACCCCUGGGUGUCUCGAGGAGUACAUGAAAGCAUCAUGAAUUCAGUUCUGAUGACACAACAUGCUUUUCCUUCCAAAACAAAGUGACGCCAUCAAACAGUCCUCGUCCAAGCGCUCAUAUGUCCGAUUCCUUGGUGUGGCCUUUUGUCCCCGGUGACUCAGGGUGUGUUACAAGCUGUUUUUCAUUUUUUUUCAUUUAUUUUUUUUAAAUUACAGGCAAUUUAAUCUCCCGGUUUCUUUGCAGCUCCCAGAGAAGGCAGCACGAGAAGUGAGCUCAUCGAGGCUUAAGGAUCAUUAUGAAGCAGGUUACAUCGUGAGGAUACAAGGAUUAUUCUUUUUUAAAUCAAUUUAAGGGGGCAAAUCUUUGUGUUCAAAGGUUUUGCUGGCAGGUUUUAAACUGGCAAACAAAGACGUCUGAAUGAAC